ACCUGGUACAAAUCAGAGGUUGGCUCUUACUUGGUGCUUAUCUCUUUAUUUCUGUGGUAAAUACUCUGCUUUUCAGGUAGUUAUUGGUUGCAGUUUUUAUGCUCUGUAGAAUCUUAAACUUAAAAUGCAACUGAAGUGGUCGCUUUCAUUUAUUUCUGACCCAGAGUAGGUAUCUCAGAAUGCCAAAUGCCCAGCACUAGGAAAAAUAGGUUGACUUCUGCUGAAAUAGCUGAAUUCCCUGACUUCAGUGAAAAGAACAUGUAUGCAACUCUAUGCCACGUUCAUGUAUCUGUGCAUAUUCAUGCCUGUUGAUCUGCAGUACUUUCACUUUCUGAUGCUAUGCAAUGUAGGCAUGCAAAGAAUCUGAAGCAGGCUUACAGUAGCCCUGCAGAAACAGCCUAAACCUGCUGACUUUUCCUGCUUGUGGCUCCACAAAUAAAACACUGCAGUCUGUAAAUGUGGAUUGCACAACUGGACCCAUCAGUAGAGUGUGAUGGAAUUGAAGUUGACUCGUCUCUUCUUACUGAGAUGAGCAGAAGAUGUGACCCCUUUCCAAUGAGGAGAUGUUUAGAUGGGAGGGACAAAUGUAGAACUGAACCAGUUAAUAGCGGUUGUUUCAGAUUAUUAUUUUUAAAUGUGACACACGCUUCUGUUGUAAUUAGAAAAUUCUGUCUUCAAGGAAAGUCACCUUGACUUUAAAAACUAAACAAGUCCUGAAUGAUAUGCUAAUUAUGAUGCAUCUCUGACUAAAUGGUUGAAUAAGUUUUUAAGCACUUCUUGCCUAAGUAGUUUGCAUAAAGUUCCUUCUUCCUCAGUGUCUUUUGGUUGUCCCACCCCCUCCACCCCCCCCAACAGAGUUGGUUGGUCAAGUUGAUCUCUUGUUUGAAAUUCAAUCAAGGGCAUUAAAGUGUAAACCAGUUGGAAAAACAAAGAGCUUAGGGAAAUCAUUUGCUUAAACAACAACAAACAAGCACUGGUAAUCUUCUUAGAGAAAUUAAUGAAGGGAAAACCCCCUCAGCCUGGGUGGAUAAUGAUCCUUAGCUAUCAUGUAACAAGCCUAGAAGGUUUAGGGAGAAGGUGAAAAUUAAGCAAGCUGGAUUAAAGUGAACUUCCAGAGGAACAAAAAGAAAUUUGGGAUAAAGAUCAGUUCUCCCAAGUUGAGAUUGAAAAGUAGUUCUGAACUGGAAGGAGCUUAAUCCUUUAUGUAAAUCUGGCGUAGAGGUAAGUUUUCAUCUCAGAAUGUUGUGUGUUUCUAGCAUACAGUUAAUAAAUAUUUUUUAAAUGAUUCA
rnacentral:lncRNA from 1 species